rnacentral:rRNA from 1 species
UUGUCUCAAAGAUUAAGCCAUGCAUGUCUAAGUACAUACUUUUGCACGGUGAAACCGCGAAUGGCUCAUUAAAUCAGUUAUGGUUCCUUAGAUAAUUCAUAUUACAUGGAUAACUGUGGUAAUUCUAGAGCUAAUACAUGCAAAAAGCUCCGACCGUAUGGGAAGAGCGCUUUUAUUAGACCAAAACCAAUGGGGUCGCAAGAUCCCUUUGUAUGGUGACUCUGGAUAACUUUGUGCUGAUCGCAUGGCCUAGAGCCGGCGACGUAUCUUUCAAAUGUCUGCCCUAUCAACUUUCGAUGGUAAGCGAUUUGCCUACCAUGGUUGUAACGGGUAACGGGGAAUCAGGGUUCGAUUCCGGAGAGGGAGCAUGAGAAAUGGCUACCACAUCUACGGAAGGCAGCAGGCGCGCAAAUUACCCACUCCUAGAACGGGGAGGUAGUGACGAAAAAUAACAAUACCGGACUCAUUGAGGCUCGGUAAUUGAAAUGAGUACAGUUUAAAACCCUUAACGAGGAUCUAUUGGAGGGCAAGUCUGGUGCCAGCAGCCGCGGUAAUUCCAGCUCCAAUAGCGUAUAUUAAAGUUGUUGCAGUUAAAAAGCUCGUAGUUGGAUCUCGGGUACCAGCAAGUGGUACGCUUAAUUGCUGUUACUACUUGACUGGUCCUAAUCAACCGGUUGGCCGUUGAUGCCCUUUAUUGGGUGUUUCGGUAGCCGGUACGUUUACUUUGAGAAAAUUAGAGUGCUUAAGCAGGCAUACGCCUGAAUAAUGUUGCAUGGAAUAAUAGAAUAGGACUCGGUUCUAUUUUGUUGGUUUGUAGAGCAUUGAGGUAAUGAUUAAUAGGGACAGACGGGGCAUUCGUAUUGCGUGUUAGAGGUGAAUUCUUGGAUCGCCGCAAGACGAACACUGCGAAGCAUUUGCCAGAUGUUUCAUUAAUCAGACGAAGUUGGAGGUCG